UACGUAGGGGGCAAGCGUUGUCCGGAUUUAUUGGGCGUAAAGAGCGUGUAGGCGGCUUUACAGGUCCGUUGUGAAAACUCGAGGCUCAACCUCGAGACGCCGGUGGAAACCGUAAGGCUAGAGUCCGGAAGAGGAGAGUGGAAUUCCUGGUGUAGCGGUGAAAUGCGUAGAUAUCUGGAGGAACACCGGUGGCGAAGGCGGCAUCCUGGACCGGUAUUGACGCUGAGGCGCGAAAGCUAGGGGAGCAAACGGG
rnacentral:rRNA from 1 species